rnacentral:rRNA from 1 species
CUAGCAAGUCUAAACCCACAAAAAGAAUUUAACAGGAUACCCCGAAACCAGACGAGCUACCUUAAGGCAACAUAUAUGCCACUUCCCCCUCUGUAGCAAAAGAGCGGAAAGACCUUUAGGUAGAGGCAAAAAACCAAACGAGCCUGGAUAUAGCUGGUUGCUUGAGAACAGAACUUAGUUCACAUAAAAGUAGUCACACCAACAGGGAAGAAAUACAACUUUUGGCCUAAUCAAUUGGGUUACAGCCCAAUUAAUAAGGGAAACAACCCACACACAUGAACAAGGAUUAUAAUCUUUAAGAAAGUAAGCCUAGUAGGCCUAAAAGCAGCCACCAAAAUAGCGUCAAAGCUUAACUUAUAAAACAUCAACUAUACCAAUAAAUAAACCAAAUUCAACAAAACAAUCAAGCUACUCUAUUCCUAGAUAAACUACUGCUAGAAUAAGUAAUAAGGAUACCCUCCAAAUACAAGCAUAAAUCAGAACGAACUAAUCACUGAUAAUUAAUGAAUAUAUUUAUAAAACCAGGAACCCAAUGAUAAAACCCAUUAACUCAACACAGAAGUAUUUAAGGAAAGACUAAAAGUCUGGGAAGGAACUCGGCAAACACAGGCUU